AUUGAACGCUGGCGGCAGGCCUAACACAUGCAAGUCGAACGGUAACAGGAAGAAGCUUGCUUCUUUGCUGACGAGUGGCGGACGGGUGAGUAAUGUCUGGGAAACUGCCUGAUGGAGGGGGAUAACUACUGGAAACGGUAGCUAAUACCGCAUAACGUCGCAAGACCAAAGAGGGGGACCUUCGGGCCUCUUGCCAUCGGAUGUGCCCAGAUGGGAUUAGCUAGUAGGUGGGGUAACGGCUCACCUAGGCGACGAUCCCUAGCUGGUCUGAGAGGAUGACCAGCCACACUGGAACUGAGACACGGUCCAGACUCCUACGGGGGGCAACAGUGGGGAAUAUUGCACAAUGGGCGCAAGCCUGAUGCAGCCAUGCCGCGUGUAUGAAGAAGGCCUUCGGGUUGUAAAGUACUUUCAGCGGGGAGGAAGGGAGUAAAGUUAAUACCUUUGCUCAUUGACGUUACCCGCAGAAGAAGCACCGGCUAACUCCGUG
rnacentral:rRNA from 1 species